GCUGAGACACGACGUCGAGCUACUACGGUAGUGAAGUCAUUGAUGCCAUGCUUCCAGGAAAAGCCUCUAAGCUUCAGAUUGUAAGGAAUCGUACCCCAAACCGACACAGGUGGUCGGGUAGAGAAUACCAAGGCGCUUGAGAGAACUCGGGUGAAGGAACUAGGCAAAAUGGUACCGUAACUUCGGGAGAAGGUACGCUCUCGACGGUGAAGUCCCUCGCGGAUGGAGCUAUUGAGAGUCGCAGAUACCAGGUGGCUGCAACUGUUUAUUAAAAACACAGCACUGUGCAAAAUCGCAAGAUGACGUAUACGGUGUGACGCCUGCCCGGUGCCGGAAGGUUAAUUGAUGGGGUUAGACUUCGGUCGAAGCUCUUGAUCGAAGCCCCGGUAAACGGCGGCCGUAACUAUAACGGUCCUAAGGUAGCGAAAUUCCUUGUCGGGUAAGUUCCGACCUGCACGAAUGGCGUAAUGAUGGCCACGCUGUCUCCACCCGAGACUCAGUGAAAUUGAAAUCGCUGUGAAGAUGCAGUGUACCCGCGGCUAGACGGAAAGACCCCGUGAACCUUUACUACAGCUUGGCACUGAACAUUGACCCUACAUGUGUAGGAUAGGUGGGAGGCUUUGAAGCGCAGUCGCUAGAUUGCGUGGAGCCGUCCUUGAAAUACCACCCUUGUAGUGUUGAUGUUCUAACGUCGACCCCUUAUCGGGGUUGCGGACAGUGCCUGGUGGGUAGUUUGACUGGGGCGGUCUCCUCCCAAAGCGUAACGGAGGAGCACGAAGGUGGGCUAAUCACGGUUGGACAUCGUGAGGUUAGUGCAAUGGCAUAAGCCCGCUUGACUGCGAGAAUGACAAUUCGAGCAGGUGCGAAAGCAGGUCAUAGUGAUCCGGUGGUUCUGAAUGGAAGGGCCAUCGCUCAACGGAUAAAAGGUACUCCGGGGAUAACAGGCUGAUACCGCCCAAGAGUUCAUAUCGACGGCGGUGUUUGGCACCUCGAUGUCGGCUCAUCACAUCCUGGGGCUGAAGUCGGUCCCAAGGGUAUGGCUGUUCGCCAUUUAAAGUGGUACGCGAGCUGGGUUUAGAACGUCGUGAGACAGUUCGGUCCCUAUCUGCCGUGGGCGUUGGAGAAUUGAAAGGGGCUGCUCCUAGUACGAGAGGACCGGAGUGGACGAACCUCUGGUGUUCGGGUUGUGUCGCCAGACGCAUUGCCCGGUAGCUAAGUUCGGGAUCGAUAACCGCUGAAAGCAUCUAAGCGGGAAGCGAGCCUUGAGAUGAGUUCUCCCUGAUACUUUAAGUAUCCUAAAGGGUUGUCGUAGACUACGACGUUGAUAGGCAGGGUGUGUAAGCGUUGUGAGGCGUUGAGCUAACCUGUACUAAUUGCCCGUGAGGCUUAACCAU
rnacentral:rRNA from 1 species